AGAGUUUGAUCCUGGCUCAGGAUGAACGCUGGCGGCGUGCCUAAUACAUGCAAGUCGGGCGGCAGCGAGUUUUGCACUAUUUGCUUGAGUGAUGAGAUUUAUCUCAUUGUAACCUCGAGUAAGUGGUGCAGAAUGUCGGCGAGCGGCGGACGGCUGAGUAACGCGUGGGAACGUGCCCCAAAGUGAGGAAUAACUGCCCGAAAGGGUAGCUAAUGCCGCAUAUGGUCUUCGGAUUAAAGCUUUCGAGCGCUUUGGGAGCGGCCCGCGUCUGAUUAGAUAGUUGGUGAGGUAAUGGCUCACCAAGUCGACGAUCAGUAGCUGGUCUGAGAGGAUGAUCAGCCAGACUGGAACUGAGACACGGUCCAGACUCCUACGGGAGGCAGCAGUAAGGAAUCUUCCGCAAUGGGGGCAACCCUGAUGGAGCAACGCCGCGUGAAGGAUGAAGGCCUUAGGGUCGUAAACUUCUUUUGUUAGCGAAGAAUAUGACGGUAACUAACGAAUAAGGGUCGGCUAACUACGUGCCAGCAGCCGCGGUCAUACGUAGGACCCAAGCGUUAUCCGGAGUGACUGGGCGUAAAGAGUUGCGUAGGCGGCUCGUUAAGUGGAUAGUGAAACCUGGUGGCUCAACCAUACAGACUAUUAUCCAAACUGGCGAGCUCGAGAAUGGUAGAGGUGGCUGGAAUUUCUAGUGUAGGAGUGAAAUCCGUAGAUAUUAGAAGGAACACCGAUGGCGUAGGCAGGCCACUGGACCAUUUCUGACGCUAAGGCACGAAAGCGUGGGGAGCGAACCGGAUUAGAUACCCUGGUAGUCC
rnacentral:rRNA from 1 species